rnacentral:rRNA from 1 species
GGAUUCCCCUAGUAACUGCGAGUGAAGCGGGAUGAGCUCAAAUUUAAAAUCUGGCGGUCUUUGGCCGUCCGAGUUGUAUUCUGGAGAAGUGCUUUCCGCGCUGGACCGUGUACAAGUCCCUUGGAACAGGGCGUCAUAGAGGGUGAGAAUCCCGUCUUUGACACGGACUACCAGUGCUUUGUGAUGCGCUCUCGAAGAGUCGAGUUGUUUGGGAAUGCAGCUCAAAAUGGGUGGUAAAUUCCAUCUAAAGCUAAAUAUUGGCGAGAGACCGAUAGCGAACAAGUACCGUGAGGGAAAGAUGAAAAGCACUUUGGAAAGAGAGUUAAACAGUACGUGAAAUUGCUGAAAGGGAAACGCUUGAAGUCAGUCGCGUCGUGCGGAACUCAACCUUGCUUUUGCUUGGUGCACUUUCUGUACGACGGGCCAGCAUCGAUUUUGACCGCCGGAAAAGGGUUGGGGGAAUGUGGCACCUUCGGGUGUGUUAUAGCCCCCAGUCGCAUACGGCGGUUGGGAUCGAGGAUCGCAGCGCGCCGCAAGGCAGGGGUUCGCCCACUUUCGCGCUUAGGAUGCUGGCGUAAUGGCUUUAAACGACCCGUCUUGAAACACGGACCAAGGAGUCUAACAUGCCUGCGAGUGUUUGGGUGGAAAACCCGAGCGCGUAAUGAAAGUGAAAG